rnacentral:rRNA from 1 species
UACGAAGGGGGCUAGCGUUGUUCGGAUUCACUGGGCGUAAAGCGCGCGUAGGCGGGUUUUUAAGUCAGGGGUGAAAUCCCAAGGCUCAACCUUGGAACUGCCUUUGAUACUGGAAAUCUUGAGUCCGGGAGAGGUGAGUGGAACUGCGAGUGUAGAGGUGAAAUUCGUAGAUAUUCGCAAGAACACCAGUGGCGAAGGCGGCCCACUGGCCCGGUACUGACGCUGAGGUGCGAAAGCGUGGGGAGCAAACAGG